AGCGCUCGCGAAAGGCCGGCGUGUCCAGGUGGGGCAGGCUGGUGGCCCGCUCUCCCGGCCCAAGGGCCGCCUCUCUGAGGAUUGCAGAGGAGCCCGGAGAACUCGGAGCAGGGCCCCAGGCAGGCGGGGUCCGGAGCCCCGCUGCUGCUAGGGCCCACCAGCCCCCACCCCGUGGGGCCCAUAAAGGGGAAAGGUGGUGUGGCGGAGCAGAGAGAAUACUCAAGGAUAACAUCCAGAUCCCUUGGCAUGAGUUGAGCAACGGCAGAAAACAAGCUCCCCAAGACAGUGAUCGCCUCCCUCCCCUCAGUACGCCCAAGCUCAGCAUGGUGAUGGGCACCCAGCAGGCGUCCUGUGGGUGUUGAACAGGAGCUGAUGGAAGCAGAGACGGUGGGGCUUGCCUGCUGACGGAGGUGGUGAUGAUGUUGCCUACGUACUGGGAGAGGGGAAGCGGCACGGGCAGGAGAGUCCCAGUCUCACCUCCUUUCACUACAGAGGCUGUGCUGGCUCCAGGAUCCUAGAGGAAGAGUGUUGCCCCCAGCCAAGAGCGUAAGGGUGCCUGGGGUAGGACCGUGGGAAGGAGGAGCUGGUAGGGCAGACCAGAACUCUUGGAAACCACAACACUGGGCCUGAGUGCCUCGUGACUCUCUGGACGGGCACGGUGAAGAGCUCGCCUAGCUAGAGGCUUGGAGGAGAGGGGUGUCCUCAGCAAACAGGAGGCCCAACCUGGAGCAGACCCCAGCAGCAGCCUCCGGGGAAUUAUGCACUUUGCCAGAAGAUUUGGGGUUUAAACGCUUUGCAAGCUGAGCUGUCUCAGUCUCCCCUCUGUGCCAGUCACAGGCCUGGGCACCCUCUGAGUAGAGCUGACAACCUUUGAUGAACCGGCCCCUGAGGGCAGGAGACAUAAAAGCAGAGAGACAGUGGAGUAUAAUAAUGGGAGAGAUGGACAACGAUUUCACCCGUCCUGCCCCAGGAAGCUGCUGCCACCUACUUCUCCCCCAAGUCGGCCCAAGUGGGGUCUGCUGGGUCUGCAGCCGUGCAGCCGGAAGGUGGAGGUGUGGAUACCUGCUCUCCCCACCCCACCACUUUCACCAUGGCCCAAACAAUAUACAAU